GUUGGCGUGGCAGAGCUCGGCUAAUGCUAAAGACCUAAGCUCUUUCUACAGAGGUUCAAAUCCCCUCGCCAACU
rnacentral:tRNA from 1 species